rnacentral:rRNA from 1 species
GGGUUAGUAGGUUGGUCAUGCAUCUGGUAUGCACUGGUCUCACUGAUUCCUCCUUCCUGAUGAGCCGUAAUGCCAUUAAUUUGGUGUUGCGGGGGAUUUGGACUGUUACUUUGAAAAAAUUAGAGUGCUUAAAGCAAGCUAACGCUUGAAUACAUUAGCAUGGAAUAAUGAAAUAGGACGUUCGAUCCUAUUUUGUUGGUUUCUAGGAUCACCGUA